AUGGGAAAUUCGAACGCAUGAGUGUUGGAAUUGCCUUCUGCAACGAGUAUUAGACGAUAUUUUCUCUAUUUCAGUCAAGUUUUGUGAAAUAUUGUUGAAAUUCAAUGGAAAAUUGAGAUUAUAUAUUCUAGUGACAUUUGUAUUGUAUCUUGACAGUUGGUGUGACUGUCACGAAGAUUGACAGAUUAUGAUGGAAUUUGAAGUUGAAUCGAUUUCAGAACAUUAAUCAUCUUGUAUGCAGCAGCUACGAUAGUUGCUGCAAGUAAUCAAGAAACAAAAAGCCAAAAAUAUUGUGGUGAGAGGUUAUUGAAAUCCUUAGAAAUCCUCUGUCAAUUUGAAUUUGAAAAAAUGGAAAGACGUAUGAAGAGAUCUGUUCCUUCUGGAAAUGAUCCGCAGCAAGGUCAAGAUGUUACAGAGUAUGAUAAAAUCGUUCCGUUAUGUUGUAAGCGAGGGUGUUCCAAGAAGAUACUUUUACAGUUUUGCGUUCUAGAUGUGGACGAAUUGCAAUGAGAAGAUGAAUGAAGAGAAAUGAUUUUCAUGACGUACACGAAUAUGAAAUAUUUGCUUAAUUAAUUGUAAGAUAAUAAUCAUGUACUAUUUUUUAUAUUACCUACAAAACCUUGUCAAUUCUUUGAUUCAGCAAUAUGAUAAGGCUCCUGUUAUUCUUUAUUUUACC